rnacentral:lncRNA from 13 species
AACCGCGACAUUCUCUCUCUCUCAUUUCUUUUCACUCUUCAUUUUAUUCUUUGUGGUAUGAGUGCAUUGUGCAAUAAAACAUGGCGACCGCUCACGUGUGUUACUCGGAACAGGUGUAACGUAGUGAAGCUAUUCUCCGGAAGCUUUGUGAUCCGUUAUCUGGAUCAAUAAUGAUCGAUUGAUUAAAUUGAAAAUCUACCCAAGUUUGGCCAAUCAAGGAGAAGCUUGAACAACAAUCGGCUUACACCCUGUUUAAAUGUUAAUAUCAAUGCCGAUCGUACAAGAAAUACCAGAUAGGUUCACCAGUUGCAUUCCUGAUGACUUAUUUUGUGAAUCGAUCACGGUGAUGUAUCGUCGACUGUACGUGCGACGUUACGCAACAUUGCAGUGGCUUUGUUUAGAGUGGCCCUCGACGAGUUCCAGUGAAAAGGUCUCCUCGUGCGUGUUGUACAGACGUAGACGUCUGCAUGGCGCACAUGUCGCUCUAGAUAUACGCUCAGCAUUGUUGUCGCUGCGGAAUUGCCAAACCGCGAGCCGAUUAUUGUAUUCAGAUUUGUCGAUACUUGAAUUUCCUUCGGCGUUCAUAUUUAUUGAUUUGUUGCACGUCACGUAUAAUGACAGGCCUUAUCACGCCGGCCAUAAGGUGGCGGCAACUUCAUACGGCUUCCAAGGCUUGAAAGAAACGGUAAAAAAGAGGAAACCGAAAGAAGAUUGAACAUUUGUCGCAUCUUCUGAUAAAGAAAAUGUAUGCGGUCACUACUGAUUGUGUAAACGCGUCACGACCGACGGAUGUUCAUUCAUCAGGUUCUCAUGUAUUGAACGACGAAGAGAGUUACCUAUUGACAGCUGUCGCAGGUAUUGGCAUCGUGCCAAGCUUCACAAAACUUAGAAACCCGGUCAGGCUGCAACGUUUACGGUUCGAGAGCCGGACAAUAAUUGUCGCUUAAAAACCGAUUGUUUGCGGAUACCUGCGAAUUUCUAUUGUCUGCCCGAUUGCUAAGGACAUCCCUGAAUUUUCAGAAGCAAGUCCGAGAAACUUUUUCGCCAGAACUAUGCGAGAGGAAUUUAGUCAGAAGGUGCAGAACACGGGGGACAAAAAAAAAGUAAAGAACGAGAACCUUGAACCAAUCGUAAAUGGCGCGGAGUGAAAGCGGUCACCACGUUUUUCCCAGAAGAACGCGAGCCACGAAAUUAUCGGCUUGUAAAUCGAACCGAAGGAUCUCGUUCCUUUUGCGGCAAAUAAGCGGCCGUCCGGUAAUCCAGUAGCGAAUCGAGCUCACGAAACGUCGAAAGUGAGGAACGCAAUCCUCAAUUAUCAAACCGUCCGACUAGACAAGUACCUGCGCUAAACAGCGCGCGUUCGCGGUUUACUUUACGGUAAGGAUUGCAUUUUUAUUCAUUCAAUUAUAUUUUGAUAACAUUUUGUCGAUUUUACACGUAUACUAUUUUGCGUGUAUAAAUACUACUCGACAUAAAAAAACAUAAAUGUUAAUUUUAUUUUUGCAAACUGUAAAAGUUA